UCAUCUGAGUUACAUUUUUACAGUCAAUUAAAUCAAUUCAUGAAGAAUUUGAACGUCCAUUUAAAAAUGAUUUAAAACCCUUUUUCUGAACAUUAUUUAACUCUGAGAUUGUUGAUCUGGUUGGGAACUGAAGCUCUUUUUGGGAUUGUUUGUUUUUCUGGUGCUUUUAUAUUUGCAUGUAUUGAAUGUUUUCUGCUCAGUGAAUUUAGUCCCAGAGUUUCUGUUGUUGAGGAUAUUAUGUCCAACUCUAACCAUCUUAUUAUUGGUCAGCUCUGCACAACAGCUUAUUCUGAAAUGUAUUUAAUCCUUUAUAAUAAUGUGUUUUACAUUAUUGUCUUUAGGUCUGUUGACAACAAUAACCUACAGUAAGAACCGUGUUAUGAAUUUUUAACAUCUUUAUGUAAUGAAAGCAGAGGCUUUACGAAAACCCAGAAUAACUCAAAAAUAAAAUGUGAACUUUUCCAGCAGCAGCUUCUCAUUAAAGUGAAGCUUAAAGGAGUUUUAGCCCUAAAUUGGGAAACUUUUCCAGUGUUUUAUGCUCAGUGUUUUCAGGUUACAUAAGUCACUGCAGUGCAUUAACACAAAUGUUCCUUCAAGCGUGCAGCAUGCUGCACAGAGCCACUUUUCUCUCGCUGCUCCCAUCAUUACUGUCUGGACGGCCGAAUCAUCCGUGACGAACGGAGCGUUUCACGAAGCUUCAGACAAAAGAUCCUGGACAUGCAGGAGCCUGGUCGGCUCAGCCGGCCGUGAAGCGGAUCGCUGCAGCUGCUGGACCUCCAGAGGAACAACUUACUGCUGAAAACUCGUCUCCAGCAGCAGCAGUGAUGUUCAGGUUGGGAAGGCUGACUCCAGGAUACUACCGACUCCUCCAGAGGCAGAUGUCCGGCGAGGUUCGGGUCCAGCCCUGCAGCAGCAUCCUGGAGCCUGUCGCCCUGACGUUGGCCGCCCUGGGGAUGGGAGUGUCUCUGUACAGCGCCAGGCAGAUGGCGGCGAGUCGCCAGAAACGUCACUGAGGAGCUUUUUGGGAAUGUGACUGAAUGUCUUGGGAUAUUGGAGACGGUUCGAUUCUGAGGACGUUCAGGUGUUUGGAAAAAGAGAAUUAAAGGAAAAUGUGAAGUUUUGUCUGCAGGUGAGACGAGGCAGCAAGUUAAAGACGCGAUCAGGGGUUUUCUUUUAGUGCAAUAUUAAUUUUAUUAGAAAAUUAGACAAUUUUACAUGAAGUAAUUGUUAUUGUUGCAGUUCAACAAAAGGACUAAUUGAUUUAUAUUUAAUGUUUGUCACUAUUUCUUCCUCUUCGUCAUUUGUUGUAUCAUGACCAAAACGCUGAAGAAAUAACUUUAUGCACAACGUCGUCUGACUUUAUCAGCCACAUGUUGUUAAACACUUGACACCUCUAUUAAAUAGAUUCCUGUAC